rnacentral:rRNA from 1 species
UACGUAGGGGGCAAGCGUUGUCCGGAUUUAUUGGGCGUAAAGAGCGUGUAGGCGGUUAGGUAGGUCCGUUGUGAAAACUCGAGGCUCAACCUCGAGACGCCGAUGGAAACCAUCUGGCUAGAGUCCGGAAGAGGAGAGUGGAAUUCCUGGUGUAGCGGUGAAAUGCGCAGAUAUCAGGAAGAACACCAGUGGCGAAGGCAGCCUUCUGGGACGGUACUGACGCUGAGAAGCGAAAGCGUGGGGAGCAAACCGG